CCUCUUGGCUGGGGGUUCGCUCUGGGCGCUGCUGAGCUGCUCCUCUUCCUUCCUCUCCUCCUUCUCCUCUUCCUCCUCCUCCUCGUCUUUGCCCCCUGCCCGCAGGUAGGCGUGGAACCGCUCCUUGGAGGUGCCACAAUGAGGUCACCCCAGAGCUUCUCCAGGCUGAGCAAUCCCAGCUCUCCCAGCCUUUCCUUGUGGCAGAGGUGCUCCAUCCCUCUAAUCCUCUUCUGGACUUGCUCCAACAGGUCAGGAACAUUUCUUUCCCAGGUGUUGCUCGAGCAUGUUGUGUCCCGGGGUCUGAGCAAGCCCGUCUGUAAAUGAUCCCAGCUAUUCUCUUGUACUUUGCUGCGACAUCAAAAGCCCACAUUUCUCCUGCUGGGUGAUCUCCAGGUCAUCAAGGCAAAUCUGUGCACAGAAAACUCAGGGAAAUUGUUUGAUUUCAGCUUGAACUCGGACUGGGAAUGGAGAGACCUGGAGUUUUUUCUGGUUUAUGUCUUUUCUGUGUUGAUUUCUUCCAUGAUUUUGCAGCCCAUGUGCAAAAUAAAAUGACUAAAAUAA